UUGAAAUACUGGUUCCCAUACAAUCACCGAAGUUAAGCAAUGUCGAACCUGGUUAGUACUUAGAUGAGUGACCACUUG